rnacentral:rRNA from 1 species
UUACGGCUCAGUAACACGUAGCUAACCUGCCCUUAAGUCGAGGAUACUCUCGGGAAACUGAGGUUAAUACUCGAUAGGAGAUGUACCCUGGAAUGAUUCAUCUCUCAAAUUCGAGCUUAAGGAUGGGGCUGCGGCGGAUUAGGUAUGUUGGUGGGGUAAUGGCCCACCAAGCCGAUGAUCCGUAAGGGCUCUUAGCGGAGAGGCCCUGAGAGGGAAUCUGAGACACUACUCCCAGCCCUACGGGGUGCAGCAGUCGGGAAACUUUUGCAAUACACGAAAGUGUGACAAAGCAAGCCAGAGUGCUUUUCUUUUUUGAAAAGCUUUUGUGAGAUGUAAAAAGUCUCACGAAUAAGGACUGGGCAAGACUGGUGCCAGCCGCCGCGGUAAUCCCAGCAGUCCAAGUCGCAGCCACAUUUGUUGGGUCUAAAAUAUCCGUAGCUUGCUUUUCAAGUCUCUUGUGAAAUCUGGCAUCUUAAGUGUCGGGCGCGCAAGAAAUACUGCUAAGCUAGAGACUGGAAGACGUAAGAAGUACGUUUGAAGUAGCGGUAAAAUGUGUUAAUCUCAAGCGGACUCACAACAGCGAAGGCAUCUUACGAGGACAGAUCUGACAGUAAAGGAUGAAGGCUAGGGGCGCGAAGUGGAUUAGAUACCCAUGUAGUCCUAGCAGUAAACACUGCGCACUAAACAUUAGUACCUCCUCGAGAGGUAUUGGUGCUGUAGAGAAGUCGAAGAGUGCGCUACCUGGGAAGUAUAGCCGCAAGGCCGAAACUUAAAGGAAUUGGCGGGGGAGCACAA